GAAUGCUGACAUAAGUAACGAUAAAGCGGGUGAAAAGCCCGCUCGCCGGAAGACCAAGGGUUCCUGUCCAACGUUAAUCGGGGCAGGGUGAGUCGACCCCUAAGGCGAGGCCGAAAGGCGUAGUCGAUGGGAAACGGGUUAAUAUUCCCGUACUUGGUGUUACUGCGAAGGGGGGACGGAGAAGGCUAUGUUGGCCGGGCGACGGUUGUCCCGGUUUAAGCGUGCAGGUGUGUGUUCCAGGUAAAUCCGGUUCACUUUAACACUGAGGCGUGAUGACGAGGCACUACGGUGCUGAAGCAACAAAUGCCCUGCUUCCAGGAAAAGCCUCUAAGCAUCAGGUAACAUCAAAUCGUACCCCAAACCGACACAGGUGGUCAGGUAGAGAAUACCAAGGCGCUUGAGAGAACUCGGGUGAAGGAACUAGGCAAAAUGGUGCCGUAACUUCGGGAGAAGGCACGCUGACAC
rnacentral:rRNA from 1 species